rnacentral:sRNA from 1 species
UAGAAAAGUGCACCAUUCGUAACAUAAUC